UUGCCACUUCUGCUUCUGAAAGCCAUUGAAUGUGCAUUUCAUGUCUGAUACUGGGCAAGCUAUGGUCUGAAAUUCUCCUGAAUAGUGGCUUCUUUCAUGUUCUGCCUGCAGUAGGAACAAUGUGAUAGUAUAAGCUCCUCGGGAGCAGAAAUUUUGUUUUUUCUGAAUAUCUGCAAUACACAGCAAAAAUCAUGUGCAUUUAGGAUCCAUUUAACAACAAAUGGCAGAAAACAUAGCUACAAAUUGGCUUAACUAAUAAAAGCCAGUGGUGUGGAUGACCCAAGAGCAGCCAGGAUGGGAGACAGCUAGACAGAGCCUGCAAGCCCCUCUGGAAUACUUUCACUAUCAGAACACAAUGAAUGACAAACCUUUAAAAACUCCUAU
rnacentral:lncRNA from 1 species